rnacentral:lncRNA from 1 species
AAAAUAGUGUAGACCUUAUGGAUUCCCUGGAAGUCUUUCAGGAACUCCUGGAGGGUACCCAGAUCACACUUUGAGAAUCGCCGCUCUAAGCCAAUAUGCAGAUUAAUGGAAUGAAUAACCGUGGUGUAUUUCCCACCUAAAAGACAGGCUCUGUGCUGAAGACCGACACUGACAGCUUUCGGCCAGGAACUUAUCUUUCCCAGCAACAAAGAACAGGGUAAGAUACACAUGAAAGUUUUAGGGGAUCAUGAAAAGAAGGAAAAAAAAUUCAGAGACAAGACAAUUGGAAUACCCUUGACUGAGACUCAAAAAGAAAAAUGAAACUUUUAGUACAUCAUAUUGAAAAUCCCAUGGAUUCAAAAAGAAGGCAGCAUGUAUGUAAGCCAAAGUGACGGCAUAAGGAGUUCUUUGUUAGAAAACAGGGAAAGAGAAGCAAGAGAGCAGGCAGGCAGAAGGGCAGCCAGGACCAUCAGCUCGGGUGCGUGAAAUGAGCACGGGGAAAGAAAGGGGUUUCUUUUCUGUUUUGUUUUAAGUAGAAUCGUAAUUGGGAUGGGAAGGGACUUUAGAGAUAAUCUAUUCAAGGACAUCAUUUUGUAGUGAGGCAACUGUGUUGUCUCCUGCCCGAGUUCACCCACCUGCUCUUCCUACCAGACCACGUGGGCAGUGCACUGGAACAAAAUCUCUCUAUCAGAUUAUCUCUCCUCUGUUUGUCUCCCUCUCCACCUCUGUGUUCAUAUGCAUAACACACACACACACACACACACACACACACACACACACACACACACACACACACGUUUUCUUUCCAAAUUUCCUCUUAACAAAGUCUAAAGAAUAAUCACUGUUUCUUGCCUCUAUGAUUUUUUUUGACCUCCUCUGAACCCCACACAUUGACGAAGUGCCAGCCAUAGCAAUAGUUUCAGACCCGUGGAGUCAGCUGUGCUGUUGCCAACCUCCAUCACCUGUCCGCCUUUAUCCUGGGCUCUGUUCCUGUGGAUUUGAACAAAUAGAUGAGCGGCAUCGGAAGAAAGCUUUAGCUGCAUGUGUUUGGGUGACCACGAGAGGGCAGCACGUAAGAGACCAGUGUCGGCCCCGCUGCCUUCUUGAACACACCGGAAGCCUCCUAGGAAAACUGCAGAUUUUGUCAGACUGUGAAGUAGAAGAGUCAAAGAGCCUUCAUUGCUUCCUUUUAAAUGACCAGCCUACUAAGGAAUUUAGAAUGCCCAAGUAAGGACUGCUGGUCAGACUGGACUUCAAAAUUCCUGGAUCCUUAAGACCCAAUGCAUCAGACAAAUGUCCUGCUGGAUCCUCCCACCGUCAGCUAAGGGACAGUGCUAGCUCUCUGGUGAGGGAGAUCCGUGUGGAGGUCUCUGGCAUUCCUGGGUCAGUGGAUGGCUGGGAGAACUGCUCAGCUCCAGGUUCCAGGGCCUCUGAUCAAAGCCAACCCUGGGGGCCAGCCAGAGAUAUCGCAAACCUAAGGACUAACGUGGAAUCUACACCUGCCUUGGGAGUAAAGAACAAGCAGGGUGCUUUCCGGGAUGGCUUUGGGAUGAGAUGCCCAAGACUUAGUGCCCCUGGCAUUGCUCAGCUCUCAAGCUGACUUCCACAGCACCCCCAUGGAAGCUUCAUUGGUGCAUCUUUGGGUCUUGAAUGCAGUGCUACAAUAUUGACGAGGAAAGUCUCCUUGGAACCACAGGAAGACAAAAGUGCAGAGUGAUUUGCUGGCCUUGGCUAGGACAGGGUCCAGGGUGCAGCCAAGGGAGGGUGAUCUAAGCCAGCCAUUCUCCUAGUGUGGCUCCUGGACUAUGCGCAACAGCAUCACCUGGGAGCUUGUUAGAAACACUGGUUCUCAGUUCCCAUGCAGACGUCUUGCAUCAGAAAAUCUGGGGCUGGGGCCCAGCAAUCAGUGUCUCCAAAGGCCCUGAGAUCAUUCUAUUCAAGUUUGGGAACCAGCAACACAGCAUUUAAGUGGAAAUGUUUAUAGUUGCAAAGCCAGGUGAAGCUUGAAAUGCAUCAUAGAGGAAAUGAGGACAAGAAUGUAGAAAAAGAGUAAAAACAGAGAGGAAAAAAAUUUACAAGCCAUCAUAGAGUGAAAGAGCUUCCCCUGCUGCCUGGGGGUGUGGGAAAUGAGAGUUGCACCUGCUCACAAGUAUGACCAGCAAUUUAAUAUCUAUCUAGAGCUUUCAACCCUGCCAUGUCAAAUUUAUUUAGCUAAAAACAACUCUUGUGGUGGUGACCUUUUAUUCAGCUAAUAUUACUCCCCUCAAUGCCUCCAAAGCACACAGAGAAAUUGGAGGGCUGAUGAAAAUCUUUAAAGUCUACUAAAUACUAAAGCCUUCCCAAACACUGUGUACUUUUCAGAGAGAGUUUCUUUUUAUUGGAAUUUCAGAUUAUUGAAAGGUUAUCUGUCUCCUGUUCCUAGAGGGAUUAAAAUAAAACAAAAGCAAGAAGAACACAUUGUGAUGUGUGCUUUCCUCGCUGAACUGGUGGUGCUUAUCUGACUGCAGUGAUGGGCAGCCAGUGGGAAGAUGCCAAAGUCCUUCCAGAGAAUUUCCCCAGGAACUUGGGAGGCUGAAUCACCAGAAUGAGAAAGUUCUCUGGCAUUCUGGGGAUGCAUUUCCUUCCACAUUGCUGCAUCCCUGUAUGCUGGAGUUGCAUGUGAC